rnacentral:lncRNA from 1 species
AGAGACGGGGUCUCGGUCUUGCUCAGGCUGGUUUCGAACUCCUGACCUCGAGCAAUCCACCUGCCUUGGCCUCCCAGAGAGCUAGGAUUACAGGCAUGAGCCACAGUGCCUGGCCGGAGGGAGAGUUUUGAUGGGAGAUCAGGGAAGAAUUCACAGAGGUACCGCCAGGAAGAGGACAUUUCAGAGUGGCUAAGGGAGAGGAAGAGAGCCCCACCUGCAAGCUGAGGCCCAGGUGAUAUGUCUGAGGACCUGGGGGAGUGCAAGGUCAUGCAAGACUGAAGAGGAUGGACUUGAUUUGGUAGGUGGUGGGAGCCACAGAGUGUUAGCGAGGGAGAGCAUGACAGAUACCCUGUGCUUUAGGCAGGUCGUCCCAGUUGCUAUGUAGUGGCUGGCUGGAACAGGAGAUGUUGUUAUAGAUGUGGGCAACCAGAGGGGUGUGGGUGACGGAGGGAGGGGCCCUGAGAAGGUGGCAUCUCAGGACCCAGAGACAGGAGAGGCAGUGAGCCAGGGGAGGCAGCAGUGUGGGCGCCCCCUCCCCUCUUCCAGGUGUGCCCUGGUCAUGGGGUGGCACCCUGCGCAGAGACAGGGAGCCCAGGGAAGGAACAACAGGAUGCUGGGAGACAGUGCCAGAGCGUGUUGACUCCAGGUGGACCAAUGGCCCUGCCUGUGGUCUGAGGCCGGGUCCCGAGAAUCAGCCCCAGGGCUCUGCCCUUCUCUUUGGUGUGGUCUAGAGCUCGUCACUGCCGGGGGCAAGUGCCUUGGGGUGCGCUGGGUACUGGAGGGUCCCCAGGAUGCCUGUGGUGGCCCGGCCUAUGCAUCCUGCCCCACAGGGGCCUGGUGGAUACUGUGUGGAGCUGAUGGUGGCCUGGGGACGGCGCCGCUCUGCAGAGGCUGAACGUGCAGGACCACACGGUAAAGAAGAGUGAUGCUGUAAGCACAUGCAUUCGAAGAGCUCAUCGUUUCAGAAUUUGCUUCGAUUUUCUGCACUUAGAGAAAUCUGCCUUGCAAACAGAAAUAUCUUCCCUUCUCCCCAUCUCUUUGUCUGGGAGAGUGAGCCAAUGGGGCCCGGUGAUGACCAGGGUAGCAGCCUCAGAGGAGAUGUGCAUCUUUGCAGCCCAUGGAGCUGCCAGGCUGGCCGGCGUGUGAGUUUGAGCGACUGCAAUCUGUGCAGGCCGACCCGCAGGCAAGCACGGCACCGGUGACUUCUCAGUAAGCAGCAGCAGCACCAGUCUCUUGCAGCCCCAUGACAGGGGUUCGGGGAGCAGCAUCUUUGAAGACCUUGGCUGGGGAGCUUUCCCAGCCGGUCCUGUCUUUAUCAGCCACUGUCACUCGGCAGGCGCGGAGGAGACCUCAGCCGGCCUCGCAGGGCCUGUUGUAGCCAACGUGUGGCUCCUCUGGCCAGGCGUGUGGCCGCGUCUCGUCCUCACUCCAGCCCUAGGAAGUGGAAGCUCUUAUCCCCUUAUGGCAGGGGUGUAGCAAGGCACCUCCUGGGGCGAAUGGCAGAGCUGGAAUUAAACCUGCACGCGUCUGACUCCCAAACUCUGUCCCCUUCUGCUGCACGUCUUGUCCCCAGGGCAGUCAGGGUGAAUGUGCACCUGUUGCCCCAUCGAUGGUGUGUCAACUGCCAGAUGCGUGAGUCAGGCCAUCUAGAUCAGCCGGCAACCAGCCGACCACAGACGCCCGAGGCAGCUCCAAGCGCUGCCUAGCUGACCCACGGGGCGGGGAGCUACACAAGUUCAUGUUGUUUUGAGCCACUAGGUUCUGCGGGUUUGUCAUGAAGCAAAACUGAACUGACGCUGUUGCUGUGUAACAGCCAUGCCACUGCUGUGCAAACAACUCCGCUGCUUGAAACACCCACUUUGUCUUGCUCCCGGACUCGGUUAGGGAUGGGGACAGGGCGCGGCAGGAGUGAUGUGUCUGCUGCACGCAUCUAGAGCAUCGCCAGGAAGACUCGAGGGCUGAUGGCUUGGGGAACGACAGCGUCUCACGCACGUCUGGGUAGUGGCGUCUCAGCGGGGGCGUCUGUGGGAGCCCCUGCACGUGGCUGUCCCCGUGGCCUGAGCUCCCCCACAGCAUGGCGGCUCUGGGUCUCUUGGCUUUAAUGGAGGCCGGGGGCUCCGGAGGCGAGUGGACCAGCUGACAAGGUGGAGGGCAAUUACCUUUUAUGACCUGGCCCCGGAAGUCUCACUGUGCCACCCUGCCGCAUUCCAUCCAUCACAAGGGAAGGGAAUUAGAUGCCACCUGAUGGCAUCAGUGGUGAGGUCGCAGAGCACAUGGCGCUGGAAUGCACUAUGGCCGCCUUUGGAAAAUACAAUCCGCCACCCACCAUCUCACCGAUCCCUGCAAUAACGCAGUGAGUGGGUGCUAUUAUGGUCCCCACUUUGCAGAUCAGAGAACCGAGGCUCACAUGGUUGGUAAUGGGCUCAAGGCAGCAUAGCUGGGCACGAGUGUGGGAGCGGAGUCUGGCUGCAAAGCCUGUGCCCUCACCAUUCCUCUCAUUGCCUUUCCGUACUCGGGCUUAGGGGCCCACUUGACUUUUAACUACUGCCCUCAGCUUCACAUUGUCUCCACUUUAACGUGGCGCCUUCUAUUAGACAGCUAUACGUCUCAGUGUCCCUCCUGGCUCUGCCAGGGAUCCCUGUCAUUUCCGGCAGUGGGCCGACACGGUGGCCUUGCACCCGUGGCCUCCUGCCCAGCGGAGGCUCCCGCACAGGCACGGGCAGGUGCGGCGGGCGCAGAGCCUGGCUGUGCACAGAGACGGGGUUAGAGGCCACUGGAGAGGUGGACGCAGCGGCUCAGCACAGGGUCCUGGCGCUUCAAGGCCAUGCCGGGCUGUGUGCUGAACUCAGGGUUAGGAGGUGCCCUGCUCCCCGAGGCGGGGGGAGGGGGGCGGAGGGGGACACCCAGGGAGGGGAAGGGACUCAAAUAGAAGACAUGCUGUACUGAUCACCACCCUCCCUCCUUCCACAACAGCACAUAAAGUUUGAAGCUAUCUAGCAGACAACUUGAAUUUAAAUCCUAAGAGGAUGGAAACAGGGGUUAUGUCUCUAGACUUUGAAAGACAUUUAUUUUCUGUGUUACGCACAGUAUCAACAUCACUACAUGAGUAUUUGCAGCCCUGGUUCCUUCCCUGACCCUCCUCCCAGCCCACUCAAAAUUCUAACUGCGCCCCUGACAUUUCCCCUCGUUUCUUAGGCAAAGCCGGGAGCACUCAUGCUGGUAGCCGUGCUCUGGGAGGGGUUUUUAUAAUUUUUUGUUGACAUAUAAAAUACACUUGCGAUCCGUGUUGAUGGACAAAAUGCCCAUUAACAGGAGAAUGGAGUACGGUUGUUAGACAAAAUAUAGGGUGCCCCGUUAAAUUUGCAGUUCAUUCUUUUUUUUUUUUUUAAUGUUCCAGAGAGGAACGGGUCGGUCUCCAUGAGUGGAGAAAGACCAAAUUUGCGCUUCAGGUACACAAUGGACACUUUCCGGUGUAGCUAGCCCCACAGCUGUAAAAGGGCACACAGGCUCAGUGUGCAGCUCGGUGGAUUUCCACAAGUGAGCACGUCUGUGUCACCACACUCAGAUCAAGAAACAGAACCGUCCAAACGCCCCUCGCGUCUCUUUCCAGUGACUGUCCGCCCCCCACUAGCCUGGCUCUAACAGCACAGACAAGUGUUGCCUGUGUUUUUUUUUUUUUUUUUGAAUACCAUAUAAAUGGAAUCGCCCAAUUUGUAUAAUUUUGUGUCUGGCCUCCUUUGCUCAUCAUCAUGUCUGCGAGCCUCCUCUCGUGUUGUCUCGCAGAGCCGUCGUUCAUUUUGGGGAGUAUUUCUGUAGGGAACAUACUUAUACCAAAAGAGUUAUUUUUCUGAAAUUCAAAUGGAUCUUAUCUGGCAACCUUAUUCCAUUCUCCUGUUGAUGGACAUUUUGCAAUUUUCAGUCCGGGGCUAUUUUGAAUAAAGCUGCUAUGACUACUCCGGCGCGUGUCUUUUGGUGAACAUAUGGACUCGUUUCUUUUGGGUGUUUACCUAGGAGUGGAGUUUCUGGGUCACAGGGAUGCAUAUGUUCAGUUUAACACGCACUGCCAAGCAGCGUUCCAAAUGGCACGGAUUCGUACGCCAGCCAGCAGCGAGUGAAGGUUCCAGUUGCUCUACAUCCUCACCAACCUAGGCGUCUUCUGUCCUUUUCAUUUUAGCCAUUCUAGUGGGCGGGCUCUGCUUUAACUCCCUCGCGGUUUUAAUUUGCAUCUCGCUGAUGAUUCACAAAGCUGAGCACCUGGCCACUUGCUUAGUGGCCCUUUCAGCCUCCUCUUUCGUAAGGUGCGUGUUCCAGCAUGUUGCCGAGUGUUUUAUUGAGAUGCCUGCCUCUGAAGAAAUUGCUUUGUAGGCAUUUCUUUUUUCAAGGGUUUUUUUUUAAUUUCGGCAUAUUAUGGGGGUACAGAUUUUAAGGUUUCAAUAAAUGCCCUUUCCCCCCUCCCCCACAAGUCUGA